rnacentral:rRNA from 1 species
AUGGCGAUGGAGACGCCCGGGCAGGAAGGGCUCGAUCCGGAUGAACCAGCUCGCACCGAGCCCGGCCGCCUCAACAGGAGCUCGUAUCUCUGCCUGCCAGCGGCUCACCGGAGCCGCCACUGCCGGCGACUGCCUCCCUCACCUUGUGCCCCUCCUCCUUCGCCUUUCUUCCUCUCUUCCCCGAGGAGCGGGGAGCCGGCGAAUCCAUCGGUCAGGAGCUGGGCGGCGCCCUCCAUCAUCGCCGUUGUUUGGGGAGGGACGCGGUCCUGGUCGAUGCGGUAUGGGGCGGGCGACGCGGGGCAGGAGGUGGCGGCGGGAUGGAGGUACAUGUGA